rnacentral:rRNA from 1 species
AGUAGAUAGACAUCGGCGUAAGUGUGGUUAGGGUAUUAGGGACUAAAGCCGAAUAUCUUCAAGGCUGUUAUACGCACCCGAAGGAACGAAGACCCUAAGCGAAAGUAGCUUUAUUUAUUUAGCCUGAACCCACGACAGCUAUGGAACAAACUGGGAUUAGAUACCCCACUAUGCUUAGCCGUAAAAUUUGACAGUAAGAUACAACUGCUGUCCGCCAGGGGACUACAAGCGUCAGCUUAAAACCCAAAGGAAUUGGCAGUGCCUCAGAUCCACCUAGAGGAGCCUGUUCUAGAACCGAUAACCCCCGUUCAACCUCACCUCCCCUUGUUAUCCCCGCCUAUAUACCG